CCCUUAGAUGUUCUGGGCCGCACGCGCGCUACACUGAUGCAUUCAACGAGUCUAAAACCUGCUCUGAUAGGGGUGGGUAAUCUUUUGAAUGUGCAUCGUGAUUGGGAUAGAUGAUUGCAAUUUUUCAUCUUCAACGAGGAAUGCCUAGUAAACGCAAGUCAUCAGCUUGCAUUGAUUACGUCCCUGCCCUUUGUACACACCGCCCGUCGCUCCUACCGAUUGAAUGAUCCGAUGAAUAUCAUGGAUUGAGGAUGCAAGUAGGUUAGCCUAUCUUCAUCUUCGAGAAGUGAAGUAAAUCUUAUCAUUGAGAGGAAGGAGAAGGCGUAACA
rnacentral:rRNA from 1 species